GGGGAGGUUGUAUCCUAGACCAAACAGCCUGGACAUCUGGGGAGAUUGUAUCCUAGACCAAACAGCCUGGACAUCUGGGGAGGUUGUAUCCUAGACCAAACAGCCUGGACAUCUGGGGAGGUUGUAUCCUAGACCAAACAGCCUAGACCAGACAUCUGGGGAGGUUGUAUCCUAGACCAAACAGCCUGGACAUCUGGGGAGGUUGUAUCCUAGACCAAACAGCCUGGACAUCUGGGGAGGUUGUAUCCUAGACCAAACAGCCUGGACAUCUGGGGAGGUUGUAUCCUAGACCAAACAGCCUGGACAUCUGGGGAGGUUGUAUCCUAGACCAAACAGCCUGGACAUCUGGGGAGGUUGUAUCCUAGACCAAACAGCCUGGACAUCUGGGGAGGUUGUAUCCUAGACCAAACAGCCUGGACAUCUGGGGAGGUUGUAUCCUAGACCAAACAGCCUGGACAUCUGGGGAGGUUGUAUCCUAGACCAAACAGCCUGGACAUCUGGGGAGGUUGUAUCCUAGACCAAACAGCCUGGACAUCUGGGGAGGUUGUAUCCUAGACCAAACAGCCUGGACAUCUGGGGAGGUUGUAUCCUAGACCAAACAGCCUGGACAUCUGGGGAGGUUGUAUCCUAGACCAAACAGCCUGGACAUCUGGGGAGGUUGUAUCCUAGACCAAACAGCCUGGACAUCUGGGGAGGUUGUAUCCUAGACCAAACAGCCUGGACCAGACAUCUGGGGAGGUUGUAUCCUAGACCAAACAGCCUGGACAUCUGGGGAGAUUGUAUCCUAGACCAAACAGCCUGGACCAGACAUCUGGGGAGGUUGUACCCUAGACCAAACAGC